rnacentral:rRNA from 1 species
AUGUGUGUACCCAAGAACCAAGGAGGAAUGGGUUUUCAGGAUAUUCAUUGUUUCAAUUUGGCCAUGCUUGCUAAACAGGCUUGGCGUCUUCUCGAGAAUCUGGAUUCUCUAUGUGCUACUAUUUUAAAAGUCAAAUACUAUCCUGACGGUGAUUUGUUGAACACUGACCUGAAGAGGGAUUUUUUCGGUUCGGUCUGCUUACUUUGUGGAACGGGACCACCAAUAUGGGAACAAGUUACGACAUACCAAUGGGAUGGGACGUACCACGGCCAAUCCAAUUUGGGCGAGGAUUUGGAAACUUGCUUGUCCAGCAAAGGUUAA